GACGAACGCUGGCGGCGUGCUUAACACAUGCAAGUCGAACGGCAAGGCCCUGCUUUUGUGGGGUGCUCGAGUGGCGAACGGGUGAGUAACACGUGAGUAACCUGCCCUUGACUUUGGGAUAACUUCAGGAAACUGGGGCUAAUACCGGAUAGGAGCUCCUGCUGCAUGGUGGGGGUUGGAAAGUUUCGGCGGUUGGGGAUGGACUCGCGGCUUAUCAGCUUGUUGGUGGGGUAGUGGCUUACCAAGGCUUUGACGGGUAGCCGGCCUGAGAGGGUGACCGGCCACAUUGGGACUGAGAGACGGCCCAGACUCCUACGGGAGGCAGCAGUGGGGAAUAUUGCACAAUGGGCGGAAGCCUGAUGCAGCAACGCCGCGUGCGGGAUGACGGCCUUCGGGUUGUGAACCGCUUUCGCCUGUGACGAAGCGUGAGUGACGGUAAUGGGUAAAGAAGCACCGGCUAACUACGUG
rnacentral:rRNA from 1 species